rnacentral:rRNA from 1 species
AACGAACGCUGGCGGCAGGCCUAACACAUGCAAGUCGAACGCUGUAGCAAUACAGAGUGGCAGACGGGUGAGUAACGCGUGGGAACCUACCCUUUGGUUCGGAAUAGCUCAGGGAAACUUGAGGUAAUACCGGAUACGCCCUUCGGGGGAAAGAUUUAUCGCCAAAGGAUGGGCCCGCGUCGGAUUAGCUAGUUGGUGGGGUAAUGGCCUACCAAGGCGACGAUCCGUAGCUGGUCUGAGAGGAUGAUCAGCCACACUGGGACUGAGACACGGCCCAGACUCCUACGGGAGGCAGCAGUGGGGAAUAUUGGACAAUGGGCGCAAGCCUAAUCCAGCCAUGCCGCGUGAGUGACGAAGGUCUUCGGAUUGUAAAGCUCUUUUGGCGGGGAAGAUAAUGACGGUACCCGCAGAAUAAGCCCCGGCUAACUUCGUGCCAGCAGCCGCCGUAAGAC